CCGGCACCGGUUCACCCCUGGUCGAGAAGGCUGUGCGCGAAGCGCCGCAGCGGGGACCCGGCGGCC
rfam:Actinoalloteichus sp. GBA129-24, complete genome.